GGAAUUUCUACUCAAGAUCAGUGUGUCCAUUGGUGUCUAGUGUGUCAAAUUAUAUCAGGGAUUCUGAAGGAUAUAUUUUUUAAUGUAUUUUACAAUACCUCUGUUAACUAAAGAAUCAAUAUCUUUUUGUAACAAAAAUAAUGUACAACGAAGAUUCAAUAGGAACAAACAUGAAAUAUAUUCAAUUUAACUAUUAGGUUAUGUAAUAAGACCGUUCGCGUACAGUACUUGCUAAUAUUUUAUGGAACUUACAUAAUCAAUGAUA